rnacentral:rRNA from 1 species
AUUGAACGCUGGCGGAAUGCUUUACACAUGCAAGUCGAACGGCAGCACGGGGCAACCUGGUGGCGAGUGGCGAACGGGUGAGUAAUAUAUCGGAACGUGCCCAAUCGUGGGGGAUAACGUAGCGAAAGUUACGCUAAUACCGCAUACGAUCUACGGAUGAAAGCGGGGGAUCGCAAGACCUCGCGCGAAUGGAGCGGCCGAUAUCAGAUUAGGUAGUUGGUGGGGUAAAGGCUCACCAAGCCAACGAUCUGUAGCUGGUCUGAGAGGACGACCAGCCACACUGGAACUGAGACACGGUCCAGACUCCUACGGGAGGCAGCAGUGGGGAAUUUUGGACAAUGGGCGCAAGCCUGAUCCAGCCAUUCCGCGUGUGUGAAGAAGGCCUUC